GAUGAAGAACGUAGUGAAAUGCGAUACAUAAUGUGAAUUGCAGAAUUCAGUGAAUCAUCGAAUCUUUGAACGCAUAUUGCGCUCUUUGGUAUUCCGAAGAGCAUGCUUGUUUGAGUAUCAGUAAACACCUCAACCUCUUCUUGAUUUUUCAAAAGGAGGGUGGACUUGAGCUAUCCCAACAACCUUUACCGGUCGGCGGGCGGCUUGAAAUGCAGGUGCAGCUGGACUUUUAUCUGAGCUAAAAGCAUAUCUAUUUAGUCCUCGUCAAACAGGAUUAUUACUUUUGCUGCAGCUAACAUAAAGGAUAAUUGUCCUCUUUGCUGACUGAUGCAGGAUUUUACGACACUUUAUGUGUUGUUCAACUCGAUCUCAAAUCAAGUAAGACUACCCGCUGAACUUAAGCAUAUCAAUAAGCGGAGGA
rnacentral:misc_RNA from 1 species